GACGAACGCUGGCGGUGUGCUUAACACAUGCAAGUGAUGCGACGAACCAGAGCUUGCUCUGGGGCAAAGCCGCGAACGGGUGAGUAACUCGUGGGUAAUCUACCCCGAUUACCGGGACAACCCGAGGAAACUCGGGCUAAUACCGGAUGUGGUACGGCUACAUAAAUCUCUUCACUAAAUGUAGCUUCGGCUUCCGCAUUGGGAGGGGCCCGCGGCCCAUUAGCUUGUUGGUGGGGUCAAGGCCUACCAAGGCGACGAUGGGUAGCUGGUCUGAGAGGACGAUCGGCCACACUGGGACUGAGACACGGCCCAGACUCCUACGGGAGGCAGCAGUGGGGAAUCUUGGGCAAUGGGCGAAAGCGUGACGCAGCAACACCGCGUGAGGGAAGAAGGCCUUAGGGUUGUAAAACUCUUUCAGAUGGGACGAAGGUUCGCCGGUGAAUAGCCGAGAGGAUUGACGGUAACGUCAGAAGAAGCUCCGGCUAACUAAGUGG
rnacentral:rRNA from 1 species